AAAUUUCACAUCGUGUUCAGAAAUAAGAUUGCCCACCAGCCUACGACAACUUUAGAUCACGGGAUUUAAGAAACUCGAAUCCCUACCCGAAAGCUUGUACACCCUCACAUCUCUUCUAAAGUUGAGUAUCAGCGGCUGUCCUCAAUUAACGGCCUUUCCUGAAAGGGGUUUGCCGACCUCGUUGAAGAGACUUGAGAUCUGUGGAUGCGGUGAGAAAAAUAGAGAAAUCCUACCCAGAGGUGUUGGACUUCAUAUGCUUACAUCUCUUCAAUCAUUGACUUUCACGGGUUGUGGUGGCCUCAGGUCCUUUCCAGAAGAUGAGGAGUGGCUGUUGCCUAUUUCUCUUAAAGAAUUGAAGUUCUAUAAUUUUCAGAGCCUCGAAUUCUUACCAUCUAUUUGCAAACUCACUUCUCUAAAAUUUUUGGAAAUCUGGUUAAUUCCUAAAGUCGUAUCUCUCCCUGAUGAGAAACUACCCCCGCAGCUUCAAAGUUUGAUAUUUUGUCACUGUUCUUUCCUAGAAAAGACAUGCCAAAAGGGAGGGAGAGAUUGGCCUAAGAUAUCCCACAUCUCCAAGAUAAGAAUUUAUUAGUUGAAGACUUUUGGCGAUUGAGGAAGGAUUCUAAUGAGUGCUUGAAACACUCCAAGUUGGUCACCAAAACAUGGAUCUUAAGACCAGAUCUACUGCAACGUAAGAGAGAGAUUCUUUUUCCUCUUUUACUAUAACGAGAAAAUCUCAGUCAAAUUGUAUUGAUUUCUCCAUUUUUCAAUGAGAAUCUAUGACCUAUGGUGUUGUGAGGCAUCCUCUGGCGAAGUUUGCUGGAUCAUCAUUUACUCAUUCGCUAAUUUAGCAGUUCCGGAUCCAGCAUUAUUUUGGAAAGAAUGGUUUAUAUCAUUUCGUUUGCUUAAGAUACUGCACAAGGAUAAUUUCCAACUUCAACAAUGGCUUCAUUGCAAGGGCGAUAUUUUCUGAAAGGGCAAGCUCACCCCCACGUGAUUGGCUAGAUCCAUCAUUACAAUUAAAUGUUCCAUUGGUGGAUGUUGACAAGGUGACAAGGAUUACUGUUAUCUUGUGGAGAGGGAGGAAGUGCUAUCACGCUACUAUCACUUGUGAAGAGAGCCAAAUGGAAAGAGUCCAAGUAAAUAUAAAAAAUUAAAAAGUAUGGUACGAAUUGUCUGUCAGUCUGUGAGACUCCAGCCAUCCACUGCGAAAUGUGGAAUUUGUUUGUGCUGGCUUUCAUUUUGUAAUCGGGCAUACUAUUAGAGAAUCUCUAAUUGUAUAUAAAUUAUAUUUUUAUUUCAUUUUUAAUUGACAAUUCACUCAUG